UAACUAUCGAUGCCCCUGGGGAACACCCAAUCAUCUUCCGUUUAACGGAUUCGUGGCUGGGUCCGAAACCUCAAUAGGAUCCGAACGUCUGUGGACCCGGUUGGCCUGAGGGCGGUGGACCAUGUUGAAUCAGGAGGACGAAAUCCCAUAAAACAAACGGACAAGCCUGAAAUAUGCUCAUCGCGUCGACGGCCGGGCCCCGUGGCCCUGGAAAUAUCGCCUCCUCUCCUUUCUAAUCUGGCGUCUUGCCACCGCGUGUGGUGGCUGGCCUUCGGGCUUCGCCG
rnacentral:lncRNA from 1 species